rnacentral:rRNA from 1 species
GACGAACGCUGGCGGCGUGCUUAACACAUGCAAGUCGAACGGAAAGGCCCUGCUUUUGUGGGGUGCUCGAGUGGCGAACGGGUGAGUAACACGUGAGUAACCUGCCCUUGACUUUAGGAUAACUUCAGGAAACUGGGGCUAAUACCGGAUAGGAGCUCCUGCUGCAUGGUGGGGGUUGGAAAGUUUCGGCGGUUGGGGAUGGACUCGCGGCUUAUCAGCUUGUUGGUGGGGUAGUGGCUUACCAAGGCUUUGACGGGUAGCCGGCCUGAGAGGGUGACCGGCCACAUUGGGACUGAGAUACGGCCCAGACUCCUACGGGAGGCAGCAGUGGGGAAUAUUGCACAAUGGGCGGAAGCCUGAUGCAGCAACGCCGCGUGCGGGAUGACGGCCUUCGGGUUGUAAACCGCUUUCGCCUGUGACGAAGCGUGAGGGACGGUAAUGGGUAAAGAAGCACCGGCUAACUACGUG